rnacentral:rRNA from 1 species
UACGAAGGGGGCUAGCGUUGCUCGGAAUUACUGGGCGUAAAGCGCACGUAGGCGGAUCUUUAAGUCAGGGGUGAAAUCCUGGAGCUCAACUCCAGAACUGCCUUUGAUACUGAGGGUCUUGAGUUCGGGAGAGGUGAGUGGAACUGCGAGUGUAGAGGUGAAAUUCGUAGAUAUUCGCAAGAACACCAGUGGCGAAGGCGGCUCACUGGCCCGAUACUGACGCUAAGGUGCGAAAGCGUGGGGAGCAAACAGG